GAUGAACGCUGGCGGCGUGCCUAAUACAUGCAAGUCGAGCGAACAGACGAGGAGCUUGCUCCUCUGACGUUAGCGGCGGACGGGUGAGUAACACGUGGAUAACCUACCUAUAAGACUGGGAUAACUUCGGGAAACCGGAGCUAAUACCGGAUAAUAUAUUGUAACACAUGGUUCAAUAGUGAAAGACGGUAUUGCUGUCACAUAUAGAUGGAUCCGCGUCGCAUUAGCUGGUUGGUAAGGUAACGGCUUACCAAGGCAACGAUGCGUAGCCGCCCUGAGAGGGUGAUCGGCCACACUGGAACGGAGACACGGUCCAGACUCCUACGGGAGGCACAGGUAGGGAAUCUUCCGCAAUGGGCGAAAGCCUGACGGGGCAACGCCGCGUGGGUGAUGAAGGUCUUCGGAUCGUAAAACUCUGUGAUUAGGAAAGAACAAAUGUGUAAGUAACUAUGCACGUCUUGACGGUACCUAAUCAGAAAGCCACGGCUAACUACGUG
rnacentral:rRNA from 1 species